UGAUCUGUGGGUGUCUGAGGCCUGACCAGGCACAGGUAUGAGGUGCUGGAUCUGUGGGUGUCUGAGGAGGCCUGACCAGGCACAGGUAUGAGGCGCUGGGUCUGUGGGUGUCUGAGAAGGCCUGACCAGGCACAGGUAUGGGGUUCUGGAUCUGUGGGUGUCUCAGGAGGCCUGACCAGGCACAGGUAUGAGGUUCUAGAUCUGUGGGUGUCUGAGGAGGCCUGACCAGGCACAGGUAUGAGGCACUGGAUCUGUGGGUGUCUGAGGAGGCCUGACCAGGCACAGGUAUGAGGUUCUGGAUCUGUGGGUGUCUCAGGAGGCCUGACCAGGCACAGGUAUGAGGUUCUGGAUCUGUGGGUGUCUGAGGAGGCCUGACCAGGCACAGGUAUGAGGUGCUGGAUCUGUGGGUGUCUGAGGAGGCCUGACCAGGCACAGGUAUGAGGUUCUGGAUCUGUGGGUGUCUGAGGGGGCCUGACCAGGCACAGGUAUGAGGCGCUGGGUCUUUCGGUGUCUGAGGAGACGGGGCCAGCUCUGGUAAGGUCUCUGAUUGAGUCUUCGGGCUCUCAUCAGUCUCAGCACCUGACCGGAGGUGGGUUGGGCCCCAGCCCUCUGAGCUGCACCUGUGGAAGAGCAUUGAUUGGGGGGGGGGGGGGGGGCAAGUUUUGUGGCAGGAGGGAGGGGGCAGGUGUGCCAACCCUUCCUCAGCACCAUUU